rnacentral:lncRNA from 1 species
CAUUUUUUCUCCCUCCUUAGAAUCUGACAGGCCAAGGAGAAUUCUGAUUUCAAAGGGAUGCUUAGAAUCUGUACUGAUGCCAUCUAGAAAUGUAAAUGCUCAGUGUCACACUGCUAAGGGGAGAAAGGGGCUGGUGUGUGGAUUGAGGGGGCAUUGCCAUAGUGUGAAUGUGGACGUCCUGGAACAACAUGUGGGAAUUGGCAUUCUUCCUCCCCCAGUUUCACAGACGUCACCAUUAGACCAAGCCUCGAAUACCUGAGUCUUUGUGGAACAUGAUGGAUUGACAACAAAAUGCUUCUUACUGAGGUGAGAGUAUAAAAGUGAACAACUACUUAUCAUGGACAUUUACCUGGAAACUCGAACUCAAAAUAUAUAAUAUACAUCUUUGCUUCUUUCCUAGUCAGACAUAAGCUAACCCAGGACCACAAGGCCAGGAACUACUCCACUCACAGUGGACUGCCUCUGCCCCUCCUCCGGUUGCUAAUUGAGAAAACGCCUUACAGCUCGAUCUUAUGGGCAUUUCCUCAAGGGAAAGUCUUCUGUCUGACAACUCCAGCUCUUGCCAAGUUCACACACAGAACCAGCCAGGACACAGUGUUGAUAAAGAACAGCAGUGGGCCAUAGAAGAUAUCUAAACAUUUGUCCUACAGCCAAA